GACAGCUUGAACUUUUCUGAGAAGAGCUGCAGGCAGGGUCUCUCCACCAUUCACACCCUCGGCUCUUCAUCAGCAUGUGGCCAUAAGGUUUACAGGAGGGACCACCAAAUCACUGCAAGGAGAAAGUGAUGCAACACUUUGCUGCUGUUUCGGCCCAUCUGCCAUCCCUGAAUAUUACAAUAGCGGUGAUUUUUCUUACAACCUCUCCACCAGAAGAUGCUUAGUGCAUGUUUUUGGGAAGAUGAUUGUGUGGAUUUGUUGGGUUGCCUGUCUGUUUUUCUAGAUAUGAGCUGAUGUUAAAAUGAUGAUUGAUUGGUAUUUUAUAUGUGGUCUGAUUGCUUAUGGACCAUGGUGGUUUGAUCAGUGGUGUUUUUAUCAUAGCUGUUCUGCUAUUAAUGGGAACACGAGGUUGUAUGUUAUCUGAUAGUAAGAUCAGGCAGUCAGAUCAUAGUUCAGAUCCUCGGUGUGAAGGCAGAGCCUUUAAUCGCAUUCAUUCUUUUCUUUUAUGGAUCUUUUCAAUUCAGUAACAAGCAUUUAGACAUUUUAGCCACAUUUCAAAUCUAUGAAUUUCAUGCAAUUGGAUACAAAAUAUAAAAGUUUACUGGAGUUUAAACAAACGCUGCUUUUAAGCAAAACCUUUUGAAACUAUAAAGUAAUAGAUAAACUAAAAAGGGAAGAUGAACAAGAUUUGACUGUUUGUGGUUGAACUUGAGAAGACCUGACUUUAUACAUUCACUAAAAAUAAUGGAGUUCAUUGAAAGACAUUACUGAUCUAGCUCAGAAAAGUGAAGUUAGUUCUGAGAAAAACUUAACAAAUGAGGUUCAAUUUGUUCAUUUUAGAUAACCACAAUAGUUAACAUGAACUAACAAAG